GGUGGCUCAGUGGUAGAGUGCUUGCCUUGCAUGCAAGAGUCCCUGGGUUCAAUUCCUCAGCACCA
rnacentral:tRNA from 1 species